rnacentral:piRNA from 1 species
UCUCCACCAAACCCAUCAGAUGUUGUCGCA